CGCGCGCCUGCGUGUGCGCCUGCGCAGAUCCGCCCGCCUGACGCCGCCCCGCACGGAGCGAAUGGGACUCGCACCUUCUGGUCUGUUGUACAUUGCUGACUGACAGGACAGGUCGUUGUCACAGCCUGUGAUAGGCCCUUCCCAGACCAGGAGAGAUGAAUUUAGGACUCGCAGGAUCAUUGUCUACUGUGGUUGAGCAGUUAACGCGUCAUCAUCUUACAUACAACUUCUGAAGUUCAAAGAGCCAACAAAACCCUGAUAAAUUCAACUAUGUGAAGAUAAAGUUUUCUUAAAGACUAUAUUUUUAAAAAAAGAACCACAGACUUGGAAAAUAUUUACAUUUACCACAAAAGAGUUCAUUCAGAUACAAGAGAAUAUCAGCAAACUUUUUUUUUUUCCUUUGCCAUAGGGUGGACUCAUUCUCUGGAGAGACAAAGAGAGAUCACUUUCCCUUUCUCUCUGUCUCUCUCUCUGGUGAGCCCGCAUGCCCUAUGGCAAAUAGAAUCUUAAAAAAAAAAAAUAAGGGAACAGCUACUGAAAAGAGAAAUACAAAUCAUUAACAAGUCUAUGGGCAAAAAUGCAAAGUUACUAGUAGUUACAGAA